rnacentral:rRNA from 1 species
CCUACGGGAGGCAGCAGUAGGGAAUCUUCCGCAAUGGACGAAAGUCUGACGGAGCAACGCCGCGUGAGUGAGGAAGGCCUUCGGGUCGUAAAGCUCUGUUGUGAGGGAAGAAGCGGUACCGUUCGAAUAGGGCGGUACCUUGACGGUACCUCACCAGAAAGCCACGGCUAACUACGUGCCAGCAGCCGCGGUAAU